AGUUUGAUCCUGGCUCAGAUUGAACGCUGGCGGCAGGCCUAACACAUGCAAGUCGAACGGUAACAGGAAGCAGCUUGCUGCUUUGCUGACGAGUGGCGGACGGGUGAGUAAUGUCUGGGAAACUGCCUGAUGGAGGGGGAUAACUACUGGAAACGGUAGCUAAUACCGCAUAACGUCGCAAGACCAAAGAGGGGGACCUUCGGGCCUCUUGCCAUCGGAUGUGCCCAGAUGGGAUUAGCUUGUUGGUGGGGUAACGGCUCACCAAGGCGACGAUCCCUAGCUGGUCUGAGAGGAUGACCAGCC
rnacentral:rRNA from 1 species